rnacentral:rRNA from 1 species
CGCGGCCUAUCAGCUUGUUGGCGGGGUAACGGCCCACCAAGGCAUCGACGGGUAGCUGGUCUGAGAGGACGAGCAGCCACACUGGGACUGAGACACGGCCCAGACUCCUACGGGAGGCAGCAGUGGGGAAUAUUGCGCAAUGGGCGAAAGCCUGACGCAGCAACGCCGCGUGGGGGAUGAAGGCCUUCGGGUCGUAAACCCCUUUCAGCAGGGACGAAAUUGACGGUACCUGCAGAAGAAGCGCCGGCCAACUACAUGCCAGCAGCCGCGGUAAUACGUAGGGCGCAAGCGUUGUCCGGAUUCAUUGGGCGUAAAGGGCUCGUAGGCGGUUUGAUAAGUCGGGUGUGAAAACUCAGGGCUCAACUCUGAGACGCCACUCGAUACUGUCAUGACUAGAGUCCGGUAGGGGAGUGCGGAAUUCCUGGUGUAGCGGUGAAAUGCGCAGAUAUCAGGAGGGACACCGAUAGCGAAGGCAGCACUCUGGGCCGGUACUGACGCUGAGGAGCGAAAGCGUGGGGAGCGAACAGGAUUAGAUACCCUGGUAGUCCACGCCGUAAACGUUGGGCACUAGGUGUGGGUUCCAUCCAACGGAAUCCGUGCCGCAGCUAACGCAUUAAGUGCCCCGCCUGGGGAGUACGG